GACUUAUCAAGAGCGACUGAGGGAUUAGGCCCAAUGACGUCCAGCAACCUCCCGUUACGGGGAAGGUGCCAAUUCCUGCAGAAUGGGAUCAUUCUGAAAGAUAAGCC
rnacentral:ncRNA from 14 species